UUUAUGGAGAGUUUGAUCCUGGCUCAGGAUGAACGCUGGCGGCGUGCCUAAUACAUGCAAGUCGAGCGAACAGACGAGGAGCUUGCUCCUUUGACGUUAGCGGCGGACGGGUGAGUAACACGUGGGUAACCUACCUAUAAGACUGGGAUAACUUCGGGAAACCGGAGCUAAUACCGGAUAAUAUUUCGAACCGCAUGGUUCGAUAGUGAAAGAUGGCUCUGCUAUCACUUAUAGAUGGACCUGCGCCGUAUUAGCUAGUUGGUAAGGUAACGGCUUACCAAGGCAACGAUACGUAGCCGACCUGAGAGGGUGAUCGGCCACACUGGAACUGAGACACGGUCCAGACUCCUACGGGAGGCAGCAGUAGGGAAUCUUCCGCAAUGGGCGAAAGCCUGACGGAGCAACGCCGCGUGAGUGCUGAAGGUCUUCGGAUCGUAAAACUCUGUUAUUAGGGAAGAACAAAC
rnacentral:rRNA from 1 species